GAUGAACGCUGGCGGCGUGCCUAAUACAUGCAAGUCGAGCGAACGGACGAGAAGCUUGCUUCUCUGAUGUUAGCGGCGGACGGGUGAGUAACACGUGGAUAACCUACCUAUAAGACUGGGAUAACUUCGGGAAACCGUAGCUAAUACCGGAUAAUAUUUUGAACCGCAUGGUUCAAAAGUGAAAGACGGUCUUGCUGUCACUUAUAGAUGGAUCCGCGCUGCAUUAGCUAGUUGGUAAGGUAACGGCUUACCAAGGCUACGAGGCAUAGCCGACCUGAGAGGGUGAUAGGCCACACGGGAACUGAGACAGGGUCCAGACUCCUACGGGAGGCAGCAAUCGGGAACCUGCCGCAAUGGGCGAGAGCCUGACGGAGCAACGCCGCGUGAGUGAUGAAGGUGUUCGGAUCGUAAAACUCUGUUAUUAGGGGAGAACAUAUGUGUAAGUAACUGUGCACAUCGUGACGGUACCUAAUCAGAAAGCCACGGCUAACUACGUG
rnacentral:rRNA from 1 species